GCACCACAAGAACGCGUGGAGCAUGUGGCUUAAUUUGACUCAACGCGGGAAAUCUUACCGGGUCCGGACACACUGAGGAUUGACAGGCAAUAUCUCAUGGUUAUUAAUUCGGUUAUUUAUUUAAGCGGUUAAUUAAGCAUCGAGUGUUAAAUAGCUAGUCCUUUCAUGAUUAUGUGAUAGGUGGUGCAUGACCGCUCUUAGUUCGUGGAGUGAUCUGUCUGCUUAAUUGCGUUUCACUAAGGGCCCAUAAAUUCAAGGUAUGUUAGCUAUCGUCGCUCUAUGGACCCCUUAUUCACUGCUUUAAUUAGUUUGUUUAAGCGCGCGUCUUUAUUUAAUGAGUUUAAGACACUGCGCAUGCUGUUGGGCUCUGAAAGCAACGAACGUGACCGCAACGUCUUGUUGCCUUAAUAAAGUUGGCUUUAAAUACGAAAUUCGUAUUUAAACCGCUUACAGAGGCUAUUUAAAACUAGACGGACCGCUGUUUCUUUUCUUAAACCAGAGGAAGGUUGCGGCAAUAACAGGUCUGUGAUGC
rnacentral:rRNA from 1 species